ensembl:lncRNA
AGAGUGAGAGGGAGGAGCCUCCCGGGGCGCCCGCUGGUACCAGCUUUCUGUGGCUUCCUGAGACAGCAUGAGCUCCUGAAUACUGUUGCCCCACAGGAGCUGCAGCCUCCUGCCCGCCACUGCAGGAGACUCUCCAAGGCCGGCAGACAUAUUGGUCCAAAUCGGAGAAAGCAAUGGCACCCCACUCCAGCACUCUUGCCUGGAAAAUCCCAUGGACAGAGGAGCUGGGUAGACUGCAGUCCAUGGGGUCACUAAGAGUUGGACACGACUGAGCGACUUCACUUUCACUUUUCACUUUCAUGCAUUGGAGAAGGAAGUGGCAACCCGCUCCAGUGUUCUUGCCUGGAGAAUCCCAGGGACGGGGGAGCCUGGUGGGCUGCCGUCUAUGGGGUCGCACAGAGUCGGACACGACUGAAGCGACUUAGCAGCAUUGGUCCAAAUGAAUCAAGAAGACAAAGCCUCUUCCUGGAAUUUAGGGCUGCUGCUGCACUGAACCCAAUGACUCAUUGCAGUAACAUCACUCCUUCCUGGCAGAGGAUGAAGUUGAAGCAGUUGAGGAUAGAAUGGAGGUAGGAGAGGAGUUCAGCAAUGCUGAUUGUCAUCUCUACUCCAGAUCCUCCAACUCUCCUUUUUCUAAAAAGUGAAUCAUUCAUUCUUGGUGAUAGAGACACUGGGUUCCUGGUAAUCAUGUCUUCUGAAGUAGUACAGGUCAAGGAAAGUAACAAUUCAGCAAUUUCAUGUAUUAGAUGAUGGUAUGUCAGGGAGAGACUUCAAAGUGUCAAAUCCUGAUCCUAAAUGCUUUACUGUAAUUUAUAUUAUACUGUUUUCCUUAGAGUCUGUGUUUAGCUUCACUCAGUAGCAUCUGAAGAAAAACAAGUACCUGAUUUCAUUUAAUAAUUAACAUGUGAUUAUGUGAAAUUGGUAAAGCUAUGGUAUUUUCCCUUUGCUUUUAAAGACAAAAUAGCAUGUGCUAUGUACAUAGCGUGGUGACAUACUUUAUGUUGAACCCUCUGUAGGUAAAUGUCGAAGAUUUUUUGAUGCCCAGUGCCCUCAGAUCUAAAAAUUGUGGUGAAAGAAUAGUACUUUGCUACCCUGCAAAACAACCAUCUCUUGCUUCCUGAACUCAUAAUUAUCAAAAUACAAGUUUAAAAAAUAGUGAAAGCCCCAUUAUUUUUUAGAGCCCUGCCCACUGAAAAAAACAAGCCAAACACUGACUUUUUAAGGCCUUCUUUCUAGAGCUGACAUUAUUUAUCCAUUUCGAUUCAUGACCUUGUCUGAAGGAGUUUCUUUAACUCUGGAUACGUAAACAUAGCAUCAUUUAAAAAUAAUUGAAAUGACUCUACAGAGUGAGACUCAUGAAAGUGUCCAUUUUUUUAAAAAGAAGAAUAACUAGAACAACAAAAGAAAGAAAUAGUAAAAAUAUAUGCUACUCGUACUGCCAGAGCAUGGACUUUUAAAAUAAUCUCAGGAAUUCCCUGGUGGUCCAGUGGUUAGAACUACCCACUUUUGUUGCUGAGGGCCUGGGUUCGAUCCUUGGUCCGGGAACAAAGGUCUUGCGAGUUGCUUGAUGUGGCCAUUUUCACAACGUGUCAAGUAAGUGCUACUGAGACUCAGAGUGGUUAGUUUCCUGUUCCCAGGAUCAAAUAUACAGAAAAUGCCAGGAUGUGAGACAAGUAUUUGCUCAGUUUAUUCUACACCCACUUCACUUUAUAUGUGUGAUGUACAAAUGACACUAUUGCAAUUAUAUUUUCAUCUCUUUUGAAGUUCAAAUUUGGGUUCAAAUUUGUGUCUUUGUUUUAGGUAACUUUAAGGAUUGUCUUCAGUGUCUUAUUUCAUGGGGCUCUCCUUUCCCUAUAUCAGGGCCCUCAUUUCUAACUGCAAACAAAUGACCACUCUCUAGGUCUAGAAUAGCUUGAAAUUUCACAAUGUAAAUAUACUGCUUACUACCUGUUGAAGGGAUGCAGUUCUUUCUUUCCUAUGCCUUCUUCCUGUUGUCUCCUGGCCUCCAGCACCUACCACUCUGCUAGUGACUUAUUUUUGGGUUUAAAGAUCCUAAAGAUCUCUCUCUGUAUCUGAGCUCCCUGGUGGCUGUCCUCAAGUUCCUCCUGGUCAACAUUCUGCCUGCCUGGGCUGGGGUUCGGGAGGAUGUGGUGAGGGGAGAGGCUCUCCUAGGUUGGACCAAAGCUGAAAAUAAAUGGUUGCCAUCACAGCUCUUGUGGAAUGCAGCUAAAAUCUUUGUUUGCAUAUAGCAGCUUUUGUUUCUGUGCUUCAAUCAUUUUAUGUUCAAGAAUUGUGAAAGCCCCACGGACAGAAGUGCCUGGUGGGCUACAGUCCAUGGGGUCGGAAAGAGCUGGACACAACUGAGUGACUAACAUACUUGCUUUUCAAUCAUUUAAUGUCCACGAAUUGUGUGAGCUACACAAUGAAUGUAGAUUUUAAAACAAUGCAGACCAUCCAAAUUGGAUUGUCUAUAAUGUUUUGAUUAAAGACAUUUCUGUUACUAUUUCUGCAUUUUUCCUCACAUUCAUAAAAAUUAAACCUGAAGCACAUACCAUAAUGAAAAUAAGUAUCUAAGGUGUCAUCUAAAUAAUCAAGAUUCAAUUCACGCUGCUACCAUGUAUUGUAUUUUACUUUUCUGAAAGUCAGCUCCCCUUGAAAGACACUUUUGAUAAAUUUCGUCAGAUAUUUUACUAAUCCUAAUUCAAUGUAACAAAUAUUUUUAGACUAUCUAUUAUUUGCUUUAUUCUAAGCUAGAAACUGGCCUUAUGAAGUAAGUAUAAGAGUUUCUCCACUCAAGAAGUUUACAGUCUAAUUAGAAUAUCCUAAUAAAUAGGUGUUUGUGUGUAUGUAUGUUUGUACAUGAGACAAUCAGAUAAAUACAACAUAAUAUAUGGUUAUGCUGUAAAAUGUGGUGUUUAGAUGACAAGUAUGAUAGGAAGUCACAGUACUGAAAGCAUUUUGAGUUUCUUCAAUGUGCUAGCCGUUCUAAUCCCCUCCUCUCAGCUGUGAAGUUUUGACUCAAUUUGGAAAAAAAUAAUAUCCUCAACAAAACAAUUUUAAACCUGUGGCUUUUUUUAUCCUCUGUUAUUACUUUUCUCUCCAUGUAAUAAAGGGGCAAUGUGUUCCUUUAUCCUCUUCUUACUCUGGAGUCACUGAGCCAUUUUUUUACUGUCUUUUUUGUCUUCCUGCCAGUUGCAUCUCAUUUCUUAUUUUGGUUCUCCUGACUGUUCCAAAAGGCUGACCUAAAGUCAAAUUAUUUAAUAUCCUGGGGGAGAAAUAAUUUCUUUCUUAUUCUUAUCACUUUGUUGUUCAUCUUUAAGUUUAAAGCUUAAAUCACCAAUUGGUAUAUUUUUAUCAAGUCCCCAUUUAAGGAUGAUGUAAGGUGACACAUACCUCUUUUCUUCAAAAAUAUUUUUUACAGUUUUAGAAUUGCAAGUUGUCAACAUUUGUGUGUAAAUAUUUCUAAAAAAAUUUCAUAGGGAAAUUUGAAAUAAAUCUACACAUAUAAUAUUUAGAACGUUAACUGUAAUAAAACCCGAAACUACAUCUUUAGAUGAAAACUUUUUUUUUGAUGAAAUCAUAAAACCCCAUCUUAUGCUAUAUUUAAUACUUUUAUAAAGAGUAAACUUUGAAGAAAUAAUCUGAAAAUGUGUCUAGCUAGAAUAAUGGAAAAGUAUGGUACAUCAUGAAUCAAUAUAAAUUUAUUUUUGAGGAAAGCAAAAUGACCAGGAUGGACAAUGAAAUGUUUCAAGCACUAUAAAAUGUAUUGAGUUCCAAAAACCAGACAAUUUUGUAUAAAGUAACUUUAGAAUUGGUUUUCCCCUGGAUAAUAAACAAUGGUGAAAUGUACUAAAAAUACAGAAAAACAUAUUUUGAGAAGCACAUUAAAUCAGAGAAAUGAUAUUGUCAUAACUGAUUCCAUAAAGACUCUCAGAAAAGCAAACUUGAUAUAACCAGUGUGACGCUUAAAAUGGGGAAACCAGCUAUCAGGGGUCAAUGAGAAACAACUUAAAAAUGCCAUCAAAAAGUUUGGAAAAAAUCUCUAAAUAAGACUAAAAACAACCCCCAUAACACAUUGGCGUAUAUGAUUAAGAGGAAGUUUUACAGUGUUUACUCUAUUUAUUCUGGUAAUGUGGCUACUACUGGUCCAUGUAUUCUCCAUGACUCUGUUCAAAGUGACUCCUCCUAGAAGCCUAGAAGCUUCUACCUCUCUCUUGAGUCUUGGACUUUUACCCUAAUUUAGAUUUUCUUGGUCUUGACAUUUUUAUUGAUAUGUUAAUAUUUUGAUUUUAUUUCAUAUCUUUUUUAUGAAUAAAUUUUAACAUAUAAUAUAUGCAUAAGAUAUGAUGCCAAAUGGAUUAUAGCUUUAAGGUCAGAUCUCUCUAAUGCCAUUCAAGUUUUUCCUUAUCUAGAAAAAUAACCUAAUUGAUAAUUGUAAAUUUAAAAACAUUGAAUAAUUAUACCCAAGCUAUUCUUUGAGAAUAUGAUUUAAAAUAUAAAACAGACUCACAAGCUAAUUCUUAUCAAUUAACCUAAGGGUUUAAGGUAAUAAUUUUGAAGGUAGGUUAAAUGAUUUAUCUGGAAUCUUUUACACUUGUUUGGGUGGUGGCUCUUCCAGACAUUAGUUUUGUGAUAUCAGGUACUUUAUUUAAUCUAUGCCUCUUUUUUAUCUGAAAAUAUGAAAAUUAAUGGUGCCCAUCUUGUAGGAUUGUUUUGAUGAUUAAAUGAAUUAAGACUUUUAAAGUGUUUGGAAUAGUAAGCAAGUAUUUAAACAUUAUUUGUUUGUGUAUUAUUACUCAUCUCCCAAUGCAGUAACUAUCUCUCCAGCUAUGUCAAAUAUGUUAUUAAAACCUAUCCAUUAUCCAUUGUUUUAGAUUUCAGUUACUGAAUUUUUCUUUUAUUGAAAUUUUAUUUAUUUUAAAAUCUCAUUGUUUAUUUCUUUUGUUUUUUGUUCAUACUUGUUCAUACUUUCAAAACAAAAAAUUUCCUUAGAUAUAUUAAGCACAAUUACUUUAUAUUCUGUGCUCUUUAAAAGCCUCAAGUCUGACACCACUUGAAUUUAAAUUCUUGGCUUGAGGAGUUUUGGAUUAUCCAGGAAGAAUGGAUUUAGACUAGGAACUCAUACAAGGGC